rnacentral:rRNA from 1 species
UACGGAGGAUUCAAGCGUUAUCCGGAUUUAUUGGGUGUAAAGGGUGCGUAGACGGGAAGUCAAGUUAGUUGUGAAAUCCCUCGGCUUAACUGAGGAACUGCAACUAAAACUAACUUUCUUGAGUGCUGGAGAGGAAAGUGGAAUUCCUAGUGUAGCGGUGAAAUGCGUAGAUAUUAGGAGGAACACCAGUGGCGAAGGCGGCUUACUGGACGAUGACUGACGCUGAGGCUCGAAAGCGUGGGGAGCAAACAGG